rnacentral:snRNA from 1 species
AUCGUUUCUCGGCCUUUUGGCUAAGAGCAAGUGUAGUAUCUGUUCUUGUCAGUUUAGUGUCAAAUACGCCCUCGAUGAGAUGCCUUUA